rnacentral:misc_RNA from 1 species
GAAAUGCGAUAAGUAAUGUGAAUUGCAGAAUUCCGUGAAUCAUCGAAUCUUUGAACGCACAUUGCGCCCUCUGGUAUUCCGGGGGGCAUGCCUGUCCGAGCGUCAUUGCGAACCCCUCAAGCACGGCUUGUGUGAUGGGCCCUCCCGCGUCUUGGUCGUCAAGACGGGCCCGAAAUGCAGUGGCGGCUUCGCGGUAUCCGAUCAGCCAGAGCGUAUGGGGACUUUCUCUCUGUCACACGCCCGCGGCGCGGACCGACGCCUGUCGACCUUUAUUCAUCUUUUUCUCGGUUGACCUCGGAUCAGGUAGGGAUACCCGCUGAACUUAAGC